rnacentral:rRNA from 1 species
UGCCAGCCGCCGCGGUAACACGGGGGGCGCAAGCGUUAUUCGGAAUUAUUGGGCGUAAAGCGCGCGUAGGCGGAGUAUUAAGUCUCAUGUGAAAGCCCUGGGCUCAACCUGGGAACUGCAUGGGAUACUGGUAUUCUAGAAUGCAGUAGAGGGAGGUGGAAUUUCAGGUGUGGCGGUGAAAUGCGUAGAGAUCUGAAGGAACAUCAGUGGCGAAGGCGACCUCCUGGACUGAUAUUGACGCUGAGGUGCGAAAGCGUGGGGAGCAAACAGGAUUAGAUA